GAUGAACGCUGGCGGCGUGCCUAACACAUGCAAGUCGAGCGAACAGACGAUGCUCUUGCUCGUCUGACGUUAGCGGCGGACGUGUGAGUAACACGUGUAUCACCUACCUAUAAUUCUGGUAUCAUUUCGAGAAUCCGGCUCUUAUACCGGAUAAUAUAUUGAACCACAUGGUUCAUUGGAGAAAGACGGUUUUUCUGUCACUUAUAGCUGGAUCCGCGCCGUAUUAGAUAGUUGGUACGGUAACGGCUUACCAAGGCGACGAUGCGUAGCCGAACUGAGAGGGGGAUAGGCGACACGAGAACUGAGACACGGUCAAGAGUACUACGGGAGGCAGCAGUAGGGAAUCUGACGCAACGGGGGAAAGCAUGACGGAGCAACGCCGCGCGAGUGAUGAAGAUGUUGGGAUCGUAAAAAUCUGUUAUUAGGGAAGAACAGAUGUGGAAGUAACUAUGGAGGGAGUGACGGUAACUGAUAAGAAAGCAACGGCUAACUACGUG
rnacentral:rRNA from 1 species